AUCCAUCUUUGAAAGAACUAUUUUUCCUGGAGCAGUUACUGUCUGCUCUUAAGGUUUCCUACAGAUGCAAGAGAAAAUGUCCUCGUGCUUUCUGUUUGCCUACCUGUGGCAGCCAUGAUUGAAUAGGGGAAUACAGUA
rnacentral:snoRNA from 1 species